CGUAGGGUGCAAGCGUUAAUCGGAAUUACUGGGCGUAAAGCGUGCGCAGGCGGUGAUGUAAGACAGGUGUGAAGUCCCCGGGCUUAACCUGGGAACUGCAUUUGUGACUGCAUCGCUGGAGUGCGGCAGAGGGGGAUGGAAUUCCGCGUGUAGCAGUGAAAUGCGUAGAUAUGCGGAGGAACACCGAUGGCGAAGGCAAUCCCCUGGGCCUGCACUGACGCUCAUGCACGAAAGCGUGGGGAGCAAACAGGAUUAGAUACCCUGGUAGUCCACGCCCUAAACGAUGUCAACUGGUUGUUGGGUCUUCACUGACUCAGUAACGAAGCUAACGCGUGAAGUUGACCGCCUGGGGAUACGGCCGCAAGGUUG
rnacentral:rRNA from 1 species